CUUGCUAGAUUGAUGGCGAGUGGCGAACGGGUGAGUAAUACAUCGGAACGUGCCCUGUAGUGGGGGAUAACUAGUCGAAAGAUUAGCUAAUACCGCAUACGACCUGAGGGUGAAAGUGGGGGACCGCAAGGCCUCAUGCUAUAGGAGCGGCCGAUGUCUGAUUAGCUAGUUGGUGGGGUAAAGGCCCACCAAGGCGACGAUCAGUAGCUGGUCUGAGAGGACGAUCAGCCACACUGGGACUGAGACACGGCCCAGACUCCUACGGGAGGCAGCAGUGGGGAAUUUUGGACAAUGGGCGAAAGCCUGAUCCAGCAAUGCCGCGUGUGUGAAGAAGGCCUUCGGGUUGUAAAGCACUUUUGUCCGGAAAGAAAUGGCUCUGGUUAAUACCUGGGGUCGAUGACGGUACCGGAAGAAUAAGGACCGGCUAACUACGUGCCAGCAGCCGCGGUAAUACGUAGGGUCCAAGCGUUAAUCGGAAUUACUGGGCGUAAAGCGUGCGCAGGCGGUUGUGCAAGACCGAUGUGAAAUCCCCGAGCUUUAACUUGGGAAUUGCAUUGGUGACUGCACGGCUAGAGUGUGUCAGAGGGGGGUAGAAUUCCACGUGUAGCAGUGAAAUGCGUAGAGAUGUGGAGGAAUACCGAUGGCGAAGGGCAGCCCCCUGGGAUAACACUGACGCUCAUGCACGAAAGCGUGGGGAGCAAACAGGAUUAGAUACCCUGGUAGUCCACGCCCUAAACGAUGUCAACUAGUUGUUGGGGAUUCAUUUCCUUAGUAACGUAGCUAACGCGUGAAGUUGACCGCCUGGGGAGUACGGUCGCAAGAUUAAAACUCAAAGGAAUUGACGGGGACCCGCACAAGCGGUGGAUGAUGUGGAUUAAUUCAAUGCAACGCGAAAAACCUUACCUACCCUUGACAUGCCACUAACGAAGCAGAGAUGCAUUAGGUGCUCGAAAGAGAAAGUGGACACAGGUGCUGCAUGGCUGUCGUCAGCUCGUGUCGUGAGAUGUUGGGUUAAGUCCCGCAACGAGCGCAACCCUUGUCUCUAGUUGCUACGAAAGGGCACUCUAGAGAGACUGCCGGUGACAAACCGGAGGAAGGCGAGGAUGACGUCAAGUCCUCAUGGCCCUUAUGGGUAGGGCUUCACACGUCAUACAAUGGUGCAUACAGAGGGUUGCCAAGCCGCGAGGUGGAGCUAAUCCCAGAAAAUGCAUCGUAGUCCGGAUCGUAGUCUGCAACUCGACUACGUGGAGCUGGAAUCGCUAGUAAUCGCGGAUCAGC
rnacentral:rRNA from 1 species